rnacentral:misc_RNA from 1 species
GAUGAAGAACGUAGUGAAAUGCGAUAAGUAAUGUGAAUUGCAGAAUUCAGUGAAUCAUCGAAUCUUUGAACGCACAUUGCGCCCGCCAGUAUUCUGGCGGGCAUGCCUGUCCGAGCGUCAUUUCAACCCUCGAACCCCUCCGGGGGGUCGGCGUUGGGGAUCGGCCCUUUACGGGGCCGGCCCCGAAAUACAGUGGCGGUCUCGCCGCAGCCUCUCCUGCGCAGUAGUUUGCACACUCGCAUCGGGAGCGCGGCGCGUCCACAGCCGUUAAACACCCCAAACUUCUGAAAUGUUGACCUCGGAUCAGGUGGGAAUACCCGCUGAACUUAAGCAUAUCAAUAAGCGGAGGA